UACGGAGGGUGCAAGCGUUAUCCGGAUUCACUGGGUUUAAAGGGUGCGUAGGUGGGCAAGUAAGUCAGUGGUGAAAUCUCCGGGCUUAACCCGGAAACUGCCAUUGAUACUAUUUGUCUUGAAUACUGUGGAGGUCAGCGGAAUAUGUCAUGUAGCGGUGAAAUGCUUAGAUAUGACAUAGAACACCAAUUGCGAAGGCAGCUGGCUACACAAAUAUUGACACUGAGGCAACGAAAAGCGUGGGGAUCAAACAGG
rnacentral:rRNA from 1 species